AGGUUAAGAUUGCUGUCGAUCGUGCUGGAGUCUUUCAGGGUCUUUUAAAAUAAGAUGUGGAUCUAAUACUUGUGGAUUUUUCAACUUUAUUUCCUUACGAAUUUUCACCCAUACGUUGUUGGUCUUUUAAACUCUACUAGUAUUGCUUGGCUAUCUUGGGUUUUUUGAGGGCUGUAAUUGACUUUAUAAAGGGGUUGGAAAAGAACACAUUUAAAUAGGGAUCUGGACAGUGGUAGUAAAUUUGUGUUUUCUCCCUUUCCCUCCCAUCGCAGUCAUUCAUACACGUGGACCUAACUGCGCCAAGAGCUUUUCCUAAGGAUAGUUGCUGAAAACGAAGUUUUCGCAAGUGGUAAAUGAAACAACCCUAUUGAGGUAAUACGGGAAGCAGCAACAAUUACCAAAGUGAUUUACCUGUAUUAAUAAUUUAGUGUCUAUGGCAUCUGUAUUUGUAUCCUAAUUUCACCAUUGAGGAAGUGAAAUCAGCAAAAUUUCUUUGCAAGAAGAAUAUAAAACUGAUCCAGUAACAGCAGGUCUAGUCUGCACACCAUCAUACUCAGCUCUGCCAGCAU